UCACAUUUUCCAUUUGGCUUAGGUAGAGGCUCCCAUUUCUGUCCCCAUCGGGCCCAGUCUCGUUCUGCAGCCUCUCAAGCCGCAGUCCAAACCUACAGCACCCCCAGACCCUGUGACAGGGACCCUGCAGGGACUCAGACACCUAUAAUACCUCUAUCUGCCUCUCCUCCACAUACUGUAGACCAGCUAAUGAACAUAGUUGAUUGACAACCUCCGCAGUAUCAGGGAAAGGAACCUGCAUGGGCGUGGUCCCGGCUUCCCACCAAAACCUGUGUAACACCACCCAGAUGUUCAGCUCUAACUACAGAUAUCUGCUAGCCCCAUCGGAAGGGUGGUGGGCCUGUAAUUCCGGUUUGACCCCUUGUGUUUCUCUGGCCGUGUUAAAUCAAAAUGCCUCCUUUUGUGUCCUUGUACAGUUAGUGCCUGUAGAGAGCGGCUAAAGAUGGCUCCGACAUCCGGUGGUCGUUGGUGAUAAACACCUGCAAUGCGCAUGUGUUGGCAUUUCUCCGGCAGUUAUCAGACUGGAGUGAUAUUCAUGCUAAUAAGGUAUUUCAUACUCCACCAAUCCCCAGAGGACAAGUUUACUGUCACAGCCUGUCUUGUAUUUAAGGUGAGUGCCUUUGUUCCUCGGGGUCCCCGAAUCAAGAAUGAGGUGUUCCUGCAAUAAAAGCUGUUGAGAAGAA
rnacentral:lncRNA from 1 species